AUUGAACGCUGGCGGCAUGCUUUACACAUGCAAGUCGAACGGCAACGCGGAGAAGCUUGCUUCUCUGUCGGCGAGUGGCGAACGGGUGAGUAUAGCAUCGGAACGUGCCAAGUAGUGGGGGAUAACCAAACGAAAGUUUGGCUAAUACCGCGUAAGCUCCAAGGAGGAAAGUAGGGGACCUAAAUAAGGCCUUACGCUAUUUGAUCGGCCGAUGUCGGAUUAGCUAGUUGGUGGGGUAAUGGCUCACCAAGGCAAUGAUCCGUAGCGGGUCUGAGAGGACGAUCCGCCACACUGGGACUGAGACACGGCCCAGACUCCUACGGGAGGCAGCAGUGGGGAAUUUUGGACGAUGGGGGAAACCCUGAUCCAGCCAUGCCGCGUGUAUGAAGAAGGCCUUAGGGUUGUAAAGUACUUUUGUUAGGGAAGAAAAGCUAGUUUUUAAUAAAAAUUAGUGAUGACGGUACCUAAAGAAUAAGCACCGGCUAACUACGUG
rnacentral:rRNA from 1 species